rnacentral:rRNA from 1 species
AGUGAACGCUGGCGGUAGGCCUAACACAUGCAAGUCGAACGGCAGCACAGUAAGAGCUUGCUCUUACGGGUGGCGAGUGGCGGACGGGUGAGGAAUACAUCGGAAUCUACUUUUUCGUGGGGGAUAACGUAGGGAAACUUACGCUAAUACCGCAUACGACCUACGGGUGAAAGCAGGGGAUCUUCGGACCUUGCGCGAUUGAAUGAGCCGAUGUCGGAUUAGCUAGUUGGCGGGGUAAAGGCCCACCAAGGCGACGAUCCGUAGCUGGUCUGAGAGGAUGGUCAGCCACACUGGAACUGAGACACGGUCCAGAGUCCUACGGGAGGCAGCAGUGGGGAAUAUUGGACAGUGGGCGCAAGCAUGAUCCAGCCAUACCGCGUGGGUGAAGAAGGCCUUCGGGUUGUAAAGCCCUUUUGUUGGGAAAGAAAAGCAGCAGGUUAAUACGCCGCUGUUCUGACGGUACCCAAAGAAUAAGCACCGGCUAACUUCGUG